rnacentral:rRNA from 1 species
GACGAACGCUGGCGGCGUGCUUAACACAUGCAAGUCGAACGGUAAGGCCCUUCGGGGUACACGAGUGGCGAACGGGUGAGUAACACGUGGGUGAUCUGCCCUGCACUUCGGGAUAAGCCUGGGAAACUGGGUCUAAUACCGGAUAGGACUCCGGACUGCAUGGUCUGGGGUGGAAAGCUUUUGCGGUGUGGGAUGGGCCCGCGGCCUAUCAGCUUGUUGGUGGGGUGAUGGCCUACCAAGGCGACGACGGGGAGCCGGCCUGAGAGGGUGACCGGCCACACUGGGACUGAGAUCCGGCCCAGACUCGCACGGGGGGCAGGAGUGGGGAAUAUUGCACAAUGGGCGCAAGCCUGAUGCAGCGACGCCGCGUGAGGGAUGACGGCCUUCGGGUUGUAAACCUCUUUCAGCACAGACGAAGCGCAAGUGACGGUAUGUGCAGAAGAAGGACCGGCCAACUACGUGCCAGCAGCCGCCGUAA